CCUACGGGCGGCAGCAGUGGGGAAUAUUGGACAAUGGGCGAAAGCCUGAUCCAGCCAUGCCGCGUGUGUGAAGAAGGCCUUCGGGUUGUAAAGCACUUUCAGUGGGGAAGAAAGCCUUGGGGCUAAUACCCUCGAGGAAGGACAUCACCCACAGAAGAAGCACCGGCUAACUCCGUGCCAGCAGCCGCGGUAAUACGGAGGGUGCGAGCGUUAAUCGGAAUUACUGGGCGUAAAGCGCGCGUAGGCGGUCUGAUAAGCCGGUUGUGAAAGCCCCGGGCUCAACCUGGGAACGGCAUCCGGAACUGUCAGGCUAGAGUGCAGGAGAGGAAGGUAGAAUUCCCGGUGUAGCGGUGAAAUGCGUAGAGAUCGGGAGGAAUACCAGUGGCGAAGGCGGCCUUCUGGACUGACACUGACGCUGAGGUGCGAAAGCGUGGGUAGCAAACAGGAUUGGAUACCCUAGUAGUC
rnacentral:rRNA from 1 species